rnacentral:piRNA from 1 species
UAAAAAAGCCUCUGGCCUUGUUCUGCCUAG